rnacentral:rRNA from 1 species
ACGACUCUCGGCAACGGAUAUCUCGGCUCUCGCAUCGAUGAAGAACGUAGCGAAAUGCGAUACUUGGUGUGAAUUGCAGAAUCCCGUGAACCAUCGAGUCUUUGAACGCAAGUUGCGCCCGAAGCCUUCUGGCCGAGGGCACGUCUGUCUGGGCGUCACG